CUGGGCAGGGGCUGAGGGCCUGGGCACGGACAAGCCUGGUGUUGCCCAGUCGGGAGGGGCAGAGAACAGGACUUGGAGGCUGUUUCUGGAUAGUGAGGGUGUCCAGGGGCGGUGGGGCUGAGGACGAUUCCUGUUCCCAGGCUGCAACCACUGCAGGCGGACCCAGCGCCAUAGUGGAGUGAGGAAGACGGGCCCUGAGUACUUUUACUCUAUGCCCCCAGGAGGAUGGGGCUAUUUCUCCUCCCGCCCGGGUUCAGAGGGUUGGCCAGAUCCUCCCCUGGCUGUGCUCGGCAGUACCCCAAAUCAGGCUGAGGAUGGAGGGUGGGGGACCCAGGAACGGGACACCAACCAAGUCUGGGGCUGGGGCUGGGGCCGGCGGGCACUUCCCAUCCCCUUCCAGAAGAAGCACAUGAGGGACUCAGGCAAGAAACUGGAGUAAAGCUGAGGUUGGUUGGGGAAGGGACGGAAACCGGAGAUGUCCCUCUGAGGGAACCGGCCAGAGCUGGGAAGUGAAACGUAGGGAACCCCCAAGAGACCAGCCAAGCAGAGAGGCCGGUACAGGAGGAGAGGAGACCAUUGGUCUGGCCAGGAAAGCGCCAGUAUUCCUCUCCUGAAAAUCACAGACCCACCCGUCGGUGUCCGUUCUGACACAGCACCCCAAACUCGCUGCUCUUCCCUGGCUGUGGAGACACACGCAUCUGGACACGUCCCCCGAUACACGCAGCUCACCUUGUUUAGGGAAGGCACGUAGUCAAUUAAUUCAACCCAUCCAGUUUCACAGCGGAUUUUUCAGUCACUCUAAACCCUCCUCGGGAAUCCGAAGAUCCGUUUGUUUUCACGAUCUUUUGGCAUGACCUGACUCUAGCUUGGUCUUUGAAGUCACCAUUGAGGGCUACGCCUUGUGGAGAAGGGGCCCGCCAUCGCUGGCGGCAACACUGUCAAGCUGCCACCGACUGCUACUGAUGAGCUUCCCUGUUCCUUGAUUUCUGGAGUUCCUUGUGGGAAUAUAUCUUCUCAAUAUACCAUUUAACUCCCGGCUUUUUUUGAUCUCCAAUUGUUUCUUUUGAAUAAAGUAUUUCCAUCCAUUGUCAUUUUUAA